ACGACUGCAGUGAUGAGCCUUAUUUGUGGACUAGAGUUUCUGACCUUACUGGUUGAAGACAAACCCUUGGCUGUCUGAGCAAAUUU